ACUUAUAAAUAAGAACAUAGCGAGAAGAGAGAACCUAGCUGGGCUGACAAAAAUGGCUGAUCAAGAAAACCCUAAAUCUUUAGAUUCUGAAGUUCGUGGCGAAUCCAGCAAAUCGGGUUCAUCAUACUCGAAAGGGGCAAACACUUAUCACUAUAAGAAUCCACCUGAUGCAACAAUUCCAGAUUCUGCAACAUUAAGAGAUCAGUGGAGAUUUGCUGUUUGACAAUAUAGUAAAUGGUAUUCACAUGCUUGGGGUACUGCAGUUCUUGCUGGUGCUUCCUUUUUUGCUCUUGGAUGGUUUAUUAAGGGCUCAAAUCCUCUUCGUUCUAGACAUAAUGAAGAUGAAGGUCCUUCGCGUCAACCAAAUCAGGAUUCAUAGUGUAUGAAUCUUGAUUAAUUGGAUCCUACAAAGUCUCUAGUUGCGGUUUUGAAGGCGGAGAAGACGGUUCUUUUGUAUUCAGUUGGAAAGAGAGAGAGGGAAAAUAUAUUGUUAGUUGUGAAACUGGUAAAUUUUCUGUUGGUAUGUAAUUAUGUAGCAUGUACACUGUACUGUACACAUUGGGCGUUUUUUUUAUGAAUAACCAAGAUUUUUCUUCCAUUUUGAGUCUGGUAAUUUGAAUUACUAGCACUUGAAUACAUAUGGAUGUAAGUCGACACUUUGUCUAAACAUGUUCUUCAGUUCAUAUUUAGCAACACCAAUGCAGCAGUAGAGUUUUAGGAUUUUUCGGCUUUCA